UGACAAACUCACUUUGAAGAAAUUUGCCAAGAAAGCCCCUUGAUAGGCAAAUGCCUUAGGGUUGCCAUAAAUCAGAAAUGGCUUGAAGGCACACAAGAAAAAUAGAGGAAACAGGGUUUGUGUGAGAGCAUUCCUAAAUCUUUGGCUAUAUUGCCUCUUAAAUCUUUAUCUCUGGCCCCACCUCUGUUGUUUGGGCUUGGAAACGGUAAUACCAUCGAUGAGAACCAGUGUGUUGUAGUGGUUUGAGAAUUGGAGACCUAGAUUUGAAUACUCAAUCAACCAUGGAAUCUGAUGAAUUUGGACAAGUCACAUUCUCUCAGUAACAGAGGAAGGCAAUGACAACCUCCCCUCUGAAGAAACAUGUGAAGAAAAACCCUGUAAAUAGGUUCACCUUAUGAUCGUAAGCCCAAGGGCAAGGAUGACCUAACUAAAAAGCAUGAUAAAAAAUGGUUUCAAACAACACCUGGAUGCAACUAUAUUUUCAAGAAAAAAACAAAGAAUGAAUUAAUAGCUGGAUUGCCAAGAGAAAUGGCAAUGAAAAUUGCUGAUCUAUUGCAACUACAACUUGCCUCAUUGGAACGCAGAAACGAUAAGAGAAUAAGGCGAAAUCCACUAAAUGACCGUGAUUGGACAUGCCCAAACAGAGACUGCCAGUACUGUAUAGAAAUAGAAAUACAGUACUCGUAACACUGGUAGGCUCUGUGGAACGCGAAAACCACACUUGCUUCCAAUCUAAUGGAUGUGGGAUGGUGCACAGCAUGCCUCACUAUACAGAGACAGCUAGGUUGGAGGGUAUUUGUUGUGUUGUUCUUUUUUACAGAACAGUAAAACUUAUCUUGUUCCAUCUAACUUUUAAUGUUUGAUAUUUAAUAAUAGAUUAAAGAUCUGUUAUUUUGA